rnacentral:rRNA from 1 species
UACGGAGGGUGCAAGCGUUGCUCGGAAUUAUUGGGCGUAAAGGGUAGGUAGGUGGUCUUAUUUGUCUGGGGUGAAAGCCUUGAGCUUAACUCAAGAAGUGCCCCAGAAACGGUAAGACUAGAGUCCUGGAGAGGGUCGUGGAAUUCCCGGUGCAGCGGUGAAAUGCGUAGAGAUCGGGAGGAACACCAGAGGCGAAGGCGGCUCACUGGACUGGUAUUGACGCUGAGGUGCGAAAGCGUGGGGAGCAAACAGG